UACGGGGGGGGCAAGCGUUGUUCGGAAUUACUGGGCGUAAAGGGCUCGUAGGCGGCCAACUAAGUCAUACGUGAAAUCCCUCGGCUUAACCGGGGAACUGCGUCUGAUACUGGAUGGCUUGAGUUCGGGAGAGGGAUGCGGAAUUCCAGGUGUAGCGGUGAAAUGCGUAGAUAUUGGGAAGAACACCGGUGGCGAAGGCGGCCAUCUGGACCGCAACUGACGCUGAGGCGCGAAAGCGUGGGGAGCAAACAGG
rnacentral:rRNA from 1 species